rnacentral:piRNA from 1 species
UGCAAAUGCAUGGUGCCAUAGAUGUUCUAC